rnacentral:rRNA from 1 species
GAUGAACGCUGGCGGCGUGCCUAAUACAUGCAAGUCGAGCGAAUGGAUUAAGAGCUUGCUCUUAUGAAGUUAGCGGCGGACGGGUGAGUAACACGUGGGUAACCUGCCCAUAAGACUGGGAUAACUCCGGGAAACCGGGGCUAAUACCUGAUAACAUUUUGAACCGCAUGGUUCGAAAUUGAAUGGCGGCUUCGGCUGUCAAUUAUGGAUGGACUCGCGUCGCAUUGGCUAGUUGGUGAGGUGACGGCUCACCAAGGCAACGAUGCGUAGCCGACCUGAGAGGGUGAUCGGCCACACUGGGACUGAGACACGGCCCAGACUCCUACGGGAGGCAGCAGUAGGGAAUCUUCCGCAAUGGACGAAAGUCUGACGGAGCAACGCCGUGUGAGUGAUGAAGGCUUUCGGGUCGUAAAACUCUGUUGUUAGGGAAGAACAAGUGCUAGUUGAAUAAGCUGGCACCUUGACGGUACCUAACCAGAAAGCCACGGCUAACUACGUGCCAGCAGCCGCCGUAA